rnacentral:rRNA from 1 species
GAUGAACGCUGGCGGCGUGCCUAAUACAUGCAAGUCGAGCGAACGGACGAGAAGCUUGCUUCUCUGAUGUUAGCGGCGGACGGGUGAGUAACACGUGGAUAACCUACCUAUAAGGCUGGGAUAACUUCGGGAAACCGGAGCUAAUACCGGAUGAUAUUUUGAACCGCAUGGUUCAAAAGUGAAAGACGGUCUUGCUGUCACUUAUAGAUGGAUCCGCGCUGCAUUAGCUAGUUGGUAAGGUAACGGCUUACUAAGGCAACGAUGCAUAGCCGACCUGAGAGGGUGAUCGGCCACACUGGAACUGAGACACGGUCCAGACUCCUACGGGAGGCAGCAGUAGGGAAUCUUCCGCAAUGGGCGAAAGCCUGACGGAGCAACGCCGCGUGAGUGAUGAAGGUCUUCGGAUCGUAAAACUCUGUUAUUAGGGAAGAACAUAUGUGUAAGUAACUGUGCACAUCUUGACGGUACCUAAUCAGAAAGCCACGGCUAACUACGUG